CUACGAAAGGUGCAAGCGUUGUUCGGAUUUACUGGGCGUAAAGAGAUCGUAGGUGGUUUGUUAAGUUGGAUGUGAAAUCCCGGGGCUCAACCUCGGAACUGCAUCCAAAACUGGCAGACUUGAGUUCGGGAGGGGUAAGCGGAAUUCCGUGUGUAGCAGUGAAAUGCGUAGAUAUACGGAGGAACACCUGAGGCGAAGGCGGCUUACUGGACCGAUACUGACACUGAGGAUCGAAAGCGUGGGUAGCAAACAGGAUUAGAUACCCUAGUAGUCC
rnacentral:rRNA from 1 species